rnacentral:rRNA from 1 species
GACGAACGCUGGCGGCGUGCUUAACACAUGCAAGUCGAACGGUAAGGCCCUUCGGGGUACACGAGUGGCGAACGGGUGAGUAACACGUGGGUGAUCUACCCUGCACUUCGGGAUAAGCCUGGGAAACUGGGUCUAAUACCGGAUAGGACUCCGGACUGCAUGGUCUGGGGUGGAAAGCUUUUGCGGUGUGGGAUGGGCCCGCGGCCUAUCAGCUUGUUGGUGGGGUGAUGGCCAACCAAGGCGACGACGGGUAGCCGGCCUGAGAGGGUGACCGGCCACACUGGGACUGAGAUACGGCCCAGACUCCUACGGGAGGCAGCAGUGGGGAAUAUUGCACAAUGGGCGCAAGCCUGAUGCAGCGACGCCGCGUGAGGGAUGACGGCCUUCGGGUUGUAAACCUCUUUCAGCAUCGACGAAGCGAAAGUGACGGUAGGUGCAGAAGAAGGACCGGCCAACUACGUGCCAGCAGCCGCCGUAA